GGAUUGUGGCUCAGUGGUAGAGCGAUCACCUUGCAUGUGCGAGACCUGGGUUCAACCCUCAGCACCA
rnacentral:tRNA from 1 species